CGGAGCGGUCUGGUCUUAUCUGCAGGCUGCUGCUGGAAAUCCAGCCAAGAACGUUGAAUUGGAUGGAGCCACGCUCCUGAGUUGUGAGAGCUCUUCCAUUCAGUAUUAUUAGAACCUGGUGAACUUGACUAGUAUAUGUCAGCAGAAGAAUGACUAGUAUGUGAGGAAGUAUCGGGAGGAAGAUGAAUGCAUAAUAUUGUAUGGUGAUGAACAGAGGGCUGUGUUAACAUCAUCUUAUCUCUUCUGUGGGAGAAACACUGAGGAACUCGACAAAGUGUCCCAGCUGUGGAGGAAAUCCCCAGUGUUUCCAUGGAGAACAUUAAUGACAGAAGAAAUAUCACCUUCAUUCGCUGAAAGGUUCAUAAUGAUUGGGUGACCAAGAUCAAGUACAUUCAUUCUAUAGAAUCCAUUAUAUCUAGUUCAAAUGAUGAUUAUACUGCCCUAGUGAUAGGUAAGUGAAAAUUCAUGAGCAGAGGAAACUUGACAUAAGUUGAAAUAACUUCUGUAGGAAGGAAGGCUUGCCCUUGAAUCCCAGCAGUUUUUUAAAAGGAUGACCCUGUCCUGAUCAGUUUCAUUUUCAAAUUCCAUAAGGAUGUCAAAGGUUCGCCACUGUGCAGAAUGUAAUCUUGCAACUGGCCUUCUGGCUUGUAGGGGGAAGAGUCCUAAGGCCAUUCCUAAAAGACAGAUUUCUCUGCACAGCAGUGCUGCUGUUUGGUUACCUGGCUCUAAUGGCCUA